AGCUUUGCGCAGUGGCAGUAUUGUAGCCAAUGAGGUUUAUCCGAGGCAUGCUAAUUGAAAACUUUUCCCAAUACCCCGCCAUGACAACUUGAAAUAUAGUCAGCAUUGGCAAUUUUUGACAGUCUCUAUGGAGA